rnacentral:misc_RNA from 1 species
GAUGAAGAACGUAGCGAAAUGCGAUAAGUAAUGUGAAUUGCAGAAUUCAGUGAAUCAUCGAAUCUUUGAACGCACAUUGCGCCCGCCAGUAUUCUGGCGGGCAUGCCUGUUCGAGCGUCAUUUCAACCAUCAAGCCCUGCUUGCGUUGGGGUCCUGCGGCUGCCCGCAGGCCCUGAAAACCAGUGGCGGGCUCGCUAGUCACACCGAGCGCAGUAAUACAUCUCGCUUUGGGCGUGCGGCGGGUUCUUGCCGUUAAACACCCCCUUUUUACGAAGGUUGACCUCGGAUCAGGUAGGAAUACCCGCUGAACUUAAGCAUAUCAAUAAGCGGAGGA